rnacentral:rRNA from 1 species
AGCUCCAAUAGCGUAUAUUAAAGUUGUUGCAGUUAAAAAGCUCGUAGUUGGAUCUCGGGUCCAGGCCUGCGGUCCGCCUCGCGGCGGCCACUGCUCGUCCUGACCUACCUGCCGGUGUGUCCCCUGGUGCUCUUGACUGAGUGUCUCGGGCGGCCGGAACGUUUACUUUGAAAAAAUUAGAGUGUUCAAAGCAGGCGCUUCGCCUGCAUAAUGUUGCAUGGAAUAAUGGAAUAGGACCUCGGUUCUAUUGCGUUGGUUUUCGGAGCUCGAGGUAAUGAUUAAGAGGGACGGACGGGGGCAUUCGUAUUGUGGCGUUAGAGGUGAAAUUCUUGGAUCGCCGCAAGACGGACUACAGCGAAAGCAUUUGCCAAGAAUGUUUUCA